CAGCCACCAAGGAAGAUAUUUAUGAUGUGGCUCCUCAACCUUUUUGAGAACUUGCUGCUCUCUUCUUCCGAUUUAGAUUUAUGUUUAGAUUUGGGGAGGAAAAUGAGAGAAAAAUGUGCACUAAUUCAAAUUUUCCCUCCUCUCCCUUCUCACAAAAACUUAAAAUUGUUCAAAAUUUUCCACCCAAAUUUUCUUCACCUCCAUUUACCCUAAUUUCCCAAACAUAACAUGAAGGAUCAAUUCUUUCAACUGUCUUUUCAGCUCAGCAGAAAGAUGCCUAGCAGAGUUUACAGAAGUAGCACUGUAAAAUGGCAGAAAGCCGAGGAUUAGACUAUAUUACCAUUCCGUAGAAUCAGAACAAAUUAUGUCAUUUCUGAUACUUUUUGUCUUUUUCUAGCCGAACAUUCAUUUACUGGCUUAUAAUGCAUCAUUGCAGAGGGAGGUAAGGGAAUGCAUCUUGUUAGGUUGCAUUGAAAGCUCACACAUAUGCAAUUUCACUUGAUGGUUAACAGGAGAAUGGAGGCUUAGCGAGGUUCAAACUUAUGUGUGCAACAUAGGAAUGGCCGGAGAAACGGACAUUGUCCACAUUGGAAUACACUGUCUGAGAUAGUCAUCGAGUGUUUUAUGAAGACAUGACCACUCCUAAGAUGUUUCCUAAAAGCGAGUUAGUCAAUCCCGGAAAGAUGGGACAUCACCAAAAACAAGGCCUUAAAAUGAUCACAAUCAUUGGUUCCAGAUGUCUCGUAAACAAAUUGGAAUCACACCUUGUCAAAUUCUAGGUCGUUGAAGCACAGGAAUGAGAACGGUCAAUAUCUUAACUAUAAAUCCGGAUACUCCCCUCCGGAGGAAGUAAGGAAGUUAAAUUCUUACCACUUGCCUAGCAACUUGUGGCAAUUUAUGAGUACCCACUUACGUGAUGGAGAAAGAAAAAUGGCAACAACCAUUCAAGACUUACAUAAGGCCAGCCAAAUUAAGAUUUGCUGUUUAUUCUCUCCGGCUUCGUAAGUGAUUGGACUCUAUUAGGAUUUUAAUAAGUUUCCUUUUCCUAUCUGAAAUUGGAUUCCACGGUUCCUAGUUUUAUUAGGAUAUAUUAUGUCUCCUAUUGCGAAUUGAUGUAGUUCUUUAGGGAGUAUGUGUAUAUGGUUAUAAUUCUUUCUUUUGAAUAGAGUUGAUGAUAGUUUAAAUUUGACAA